UAACUUGCAAUCGAUGCUUUUCGGUAUCGUUAACUAGCGACAGCCAAUGGCGAGGACGCAGAUUUUCAUUGGUUGUUCCUAGUUAACGUUAUCGAAAAACCUCGAUAGCAAGUUACAGAAUUCCCGUACUGAUGUUACGAACAGUAGACGCUUAUUUUAUCAACGACUGCUCAGCAACUAAAUAUUGUUAAUAAUUGUAAAACAAUUGAGCAACAGUUUCAACGAUUUCUAUAAAGAGUUUGCGCUCAGAGAAAGUUGUAUGGCCGUCCGCAGCAUUGAUAGUCUCUCACAGUGCGCGUUUUGCGCCAAAAUUCUCCGCAGCGAAAGGGUUAAUAUCAGGGUUGUAAACCGGAGCAAAAAUACGUUCUUUGGAGCGGUUUUGAACCGGUUCGAAUUUAAAAACCGCUCCGAAAACCGGAUGAAUUUACGGAGUAAAUUAUUUGGAACUUGGGAUGUAAACCGAACCGGAGCGAAUAAGAUUGUAAACCGGAGCAUAAAUACGUUCUUUGGAGCGGUUUUAAGCCGGUUCGAGUUUAAAAACCGCCCCGAAAACCGAAUGAAUGAAGUAAAUUAUUUAGAACUUGGAAUGCAAAUCGAACCGAACUGGUGAAAUUUGCACAUUUACCACCUUUCCAGCUAUGUAGCAAAGAUUCAAACGUGGUAAAUCUUUUUAAAUAAAUGAAAUCCUUUUUAGAUAAAGAAACCGCUCCAAAACCGGUUUUUCAUGCUCCGGUUCGAAACCGGAGCGUUUGAAAUCAUAAUCAAAAAUGGUUCGCUCCGGAUCGGAACGAUUUUAUAAUUGAAAUUUUGAUCCGUUCUCUCGGAGCGGAUACACUUCAAUGGUUCGGUUCGGUUUACAACUCUGCUUUUUAUACUGUAU